AAAAAGGGCUUCUGUCGUGAGUGGCACACGUAGAGUAGCUUGGUUGCUCUACGUGCGGAAUCGACAUCAAGAGAUUUCGGAAGCAUAAUUUUUUGCAGUUCAGGCAGCUAGUGAUCGUUGGUCCUGGCGCCCUU